AAGUCGUAACAAGGUCUCCGUAGGGGAACCUGCGGAGGGAUCAUUUCCGAAAAAACUGGGAAAAAAAGGAUGGGGUUAUACCUGUUCUUUUCUUUUCCAAAACAAAGUUGGUUGUGUUCUAAAUCCUUUUUUAAAAAUAAAAGGGAAAAUGAGACAAUAGGAGUAUGGGAUGCUUUUUUUCGAAAGUGUCCCAACUUCUAUAUCCAAUUUUCUCUUUUAUUUUUUUUGAAAAAAUUCAAAACUAGAAAGAAAAUAUCCUUAACCAAAUCCAAGAAAGAUAUCCUAAAAAAAAAGUUGAACAACUAUCAACGGCGGAUCUCUUGGUUCGU
rnacentral:misc_RNA from 1 species